rnacentral:ncRNA from 1 species
GAGUUAGAGGUCGCGUCUUUAAUGAGUAACACCUUAGCUGUCUAAUGGGACAGAUGCUAACGUGGUGAAAGGUAAAGAUGCCGAAAUGAACAUUAGCCAUUACUAAUGUUUGUUGGGGCAGUAUUCGAAAGAAACUGAACUGUCACAUAUGUGAUGUGCUACCG